CCUACGGGAGGCAGCAGUGAGGAAUAUUGGUCAAUGGACGAGAGUCUGAACCAGCCAAGUAGCGUGAAGGAUGACUGCCCUAUGGGUUGUAAACAUCUUUUAUAUGGGAAUAAAAUGUUCCACGUGUGGGAUUUUGUAUGUACCAUAUGAAUAAGGAUCGGCUAACUCCGUGCCAGCAGCCGCGGUAAUACGGAGGAUCCGAGCGUUAUCCGGAUUUAUUGGGUUUAAAGGGAGCGUAGGUGGAUGGUUAAGUCAGUUGUGAAAGUUUGCGGCUCAACCGGAAAAUUGCAGUUGAUACUGGCAGUCUAGAGUACAGUAGAGGUGGGCGGAAUUCGUGGUGUAGCGGUGAAAUGCUUAGAGAUGACGAAGAACUCCGAUGGCGAAGGCAGCUCACUGGACUGCAACUGACACUGAGGCUCGAAAGUGUGGGUAUCAAACAGGAUUAGAUACCCCUGUAGUC
rnacentral:rRNA from 1 species